rnacentral:tRNA from 1 species
GUCAGGAUGGCCGAGUGGUCUAAGGCGCCAGACUCAAGGUUCAACUCCUUCCUGAGCAAACAGGGGACUUCUGGUCUCUGCAUAGAGGCGUGGGUUCAAAUCCCACUCCUGACA